AUUGAACGCUGGCGGCAGGCCUAACACAUGCAAGUCGAACGAGGGGCGGACGGGUGAGGAAUGUGUGGGAAACUGCCAGAUGGAGGGGGAAAACUACGGGAAAAAGUAGCUAAUACAGCAUACCAUCAGAUGAGCGCAGAUGGGAUUAGCUAGUAGGUGGGGUAACGGCUCACCUAGGAGACGCUCCCUAGAUGGUAUGAGAGGAUGACCAGCCACACUGGAACUGAGACACGGUCCAGACUCCUACGGGAGGCAGCAGUGUGGAAUAUUGCACAAUGGGCGCAAGCCUGAUGCAGCCAUGCCGCGUGUAUGAAGAAGGCCUUCGGGUUGUAAAGUACUUUCAGCGAGGAUGCGUUGCUCGCAGAAGAAGCACCGGCUAACUCCGUGCCAGCAGCCGCGGUAAUAC
rnacentral:rRNA from 1 species